rnacentral:miRNA from 1 species
CUACGCCACUGGUUCUUGGUAUAAUCUUUUGUGUGCAUGCACACUUCUUCAGAUACAUAAGGGUCUGGUGACUUCUGUUUCAGUGUAGCUGAAGAAGUGUGCAUGCACACAAAAGCUUAUAGCAAGAACAAACUUAGUUGG